GUACUUGCCUUGAAAGAUUUUCGAAUUCCCGGCCAAUGCACCAAAUAAAAGACCCCCGAAGUGAGACCCUUACUCAGACACUCAAGUCCCGGGACAGCCGCGUACCCAAGAAGACACUGAGACCA
rnacentral:pre_miRNA from 7 species